rnacentral:rRNA from 1 species
GAGCGAAUCCCCAAAAGCAGUCUCAGUUCGGAUUGCAGGCUGAAACUCGCCUGCAUGAAGUUGGAAUUGCUAGUAAUCGCCGAUCAGCAUGCCGCGGUGAAUACGUUCCCGGGCCUUGUACACACCGCCCGUCACACCAUGAGAGUUGGUAACACCCGAAGCCUGUGAGCUAACCGUAAGGAGGCAGCAGUCGAAGGUGGGGCUGAUGAUUAGGGUGAAGUCGUAACAAGGUAGCUGUAUCGGAAGGUGCGGCUGGAUCACCUCCUUU